UACUCUUGACAUCCAGUGAACUUAGCAGAGAUGCUUUGGUGCCUUCGGGAACACUGAGACAGGUGCUGCAUGGCUGUCGUCAGCUCGUGUUGUGAAAUGUUGGGUUAAGUCCCGUAACGAGCGCAACCCUUAUCCUUAUUUGCCAGCACUUCGGGUGGGAACUUUAAGGAGACUGCCGGUGACAAACCGGAGGAAGGUGGGGACGACGUCAAGUCAUCAUGGCCCUUACGAGUAGGGCUACACACGUGCUACAAUGGCGUAUACAGAGGGCUGCGAACUUGCGAGAGUAAGCGAAUCCCAGAAAGUACGUCGUAGUCCGGAUUGGAGUCUGCAACUCGACUCCAUGAAGUCGGAAUCGCUAGUAAUCGUGAAUCAGAAUGUCACGGUGAAUACGUUACCGGGCCU
rnacentral:rRNA from 1 species